UACGUAGGUGGCAAGCGUUGUCCGGAAUUAUUGGGCGUAAAGCGCGCGCAGGCGGGAUAUCAAGUCUAUCUUAAAAGUUCUGAGCUUAACUCAGUGAGGGGAUAGAAACUGGUAUUCUUGAGUAUCGGAGAGGAAAGUGGAAUUCCCAGUGUAGCGGUGAAAUGCGUAGAUAUUGGGAGGAACACCAGUGGCGAAGGCGACUUUCUGGACGAUGUCUGACGCUGAGGCGCGAAAGCCAGGGAAGUGAACGGGAUUAGAUA
rnacentral:rRNA from 1 species